rnacentral:rRNA from 1 species
CCUACGGGAGGCAGCAGUGGGGAAUAUUGCACAAUGGGGGAAACCCUGAUGCAGCGACGCCGCGUGAGUGAAGAAGUAUUUCGGUAUGUAAAGCUCUAUCAGCAGGGAAGAAAUAGCGACCUUUGGGUCGCCAGACGGUACCUGAUUAAGAAGCCCCGGCUAACUACGUGCCAGCAGCCGCGGUAAUACGUAGGGGGCAAGCGUUAUCCGGAUUUACUGGGUGUAAAGGGAGCGUAGACGGCAGCGCAAGUCUGAAGUGAAAUGCCGGGGCUUAACCCCGGAACUGCUUUGGAAACUGUGCAGCU